rnacentral:lncRNA from 1 species
CAGCCGGCUUUACACCAGAAAACAUACAUACUCGGGCGCAUUUAGACGAGCACCAAGCAAGUGCACGUCUUCCUCCAUGGACAGGUCCAUGAACCCCUUCCAUACAGCGGUCAUAGCGCUCUCGGUGCUCCUCCUUGUGUGCUUCGUUAACCACGGGCAAUGUAAUCACCACGCUUACCAUUGCUAAACUUCACUUGAUCUGUCUUUCCAACACUACUGAAUCAUCCAUGGAUUUUUCUUUGUUUCUUUCUUUCUUUUUGCAUGGAUUUUUCUUUCUUCGGGUCAGCGCUUACGGUCUGCGAAGCGAUUGGGCAUCGGUUACUUAUUAAUCACUCCCUCCGUAAAGAAAUAUAAGAACGCACUUAUAUUUCUUUGCAGAGGGAGUAGUUGAUAUGAUACCGCAGAGAUUAUCAGAAAGAAAAAUUGUAUGACGACGGUUUGUUUCUUAUUGCACAGGCAGAACCUUGGGUCAUCAAGACAUGGGAAGCAGCAGCAAGAUCAAUAUAUCACCGGGCGGGCUGUGCGUCAAAACAUCCUGCUCCGGUGUCACAGCGCACGUGUGUUUCUGCUGUUUGAUAGACAGUACCUGUCAUAGUUCAUUGGCCGAGUGCGAGAAAGAGUCAUACUGUCAAAGAUCUUCCACCCUAGACGCCGCUGCGGCGACGACCCCUGCUCCGUCGACGCCCACCGGUCUAAUCUAAUGGAGUACAUGGGUCGCAUUUCUGAAUAUUUUGUAACUUUCGCUCCUUGGUUGCUCGAAUGUCUGAAAUUCUAAAUGAAAGAGGUUUCGAGAGUUGAGGAUUAAUUUAUCUGAUGUGUUUCCUUUUGGUAUUCUCUCG